UAAAUGAUGAUGUGUUACUUCCCAGGUUCAGAUGAGUGUGCACGGAGUGACCACGGAUGAAUGUGAGCACGCUCUGCAGAACAACAACUGGGAGGUCAAGAAGGCUAUUGACUACCUCAAGGUUGAGCAGCUGUUUCGAAUCGGUGUCCAGUCCAAAGACCGCUGUCAGAAAAUGCUGGAGGCCUUCAACUGGAACCUGGAGAAGGCCAGUGCUGCUGUGCUGGAGGAUUGGAACACCAGAUGACCUCUGAACCCUGACACGUAGGGGCAAAGGUCAACCUGCUGACGUACUGGAGUUUGGUUCGAGUUGAGCAAGAAGGGAUCACAAGUGUUUACUGGAUCACAAAAUUCCUGUGGUUGUAAUUGGUCGAGCAAGCAAACAGAAAUCUGUUUUUAAUAUGAAAAGAUGCUACGAAAGACUGUCACGAUUGUUAAAGGGAUUUCAUAUCUCUAAGGUUUACAUGUACAUGUGUAGUUUUUAUUUAACCCCUCCACUGCAGUGGGCUUAUCUCUGUACCUGGGUUUGCAAAGGUUACAGCGGAAGCCAGCAGUUACAGGGUUAAUGUUUCCUUUUACUCCAGGGUGGAGCUAACUUUUCAGCCAUUUUACUCCGAAGAAGUAAACUUCGCUUUGUAAAAGGGAUCAAAGUUGACUCUCCGUUCAACUUGAGAAAUGAAGUUAUACUUGUGUUUUCACACACCUGAAAGCUUGCGAGUUGCAUACAUGGAGAAAAUUGUAUAUUUUCCCGAAUCAGAAUAAAAGGCACAUCGAUUCCGUGCCUUUCCAAAAUGUCGAAAGUUGAGAGAAUGAUUUAGAUAAAAUUGCUGUGAUGAAGUCUGCAUGAGAGAAAGAAUAUUGAGGAUGUAAAUUUAAAACCAAUGAAAAUAAUUUUGUUGUCGUUAUUGUGACAACAGUUACAUGUCUGAGAUUAUGAUGGUUUUUGUGUAUCUUGUAACAAUACAUAGUAACGUUAAUAGGUGCAUAAUGUAUAAUAUCUUAAUUGAAAGAGGCCAGACUGUAUUUUAAGCAAGUUGUGUGUAGCUAGAAAAAAGUGUUGCACCUUUUUCAAGAUAUGUAUGUAAAAAUAUAAAGGGUCUAAAAUGUGGUGGAGAGGUGGACACAGUAUAUUUCUGUUUUUAACCGUACAUGUAUGACUGUAUGUAUAGUAUUGGUACUAUGCACACCAGGGUGGUUACGAUAGAUGUACAUGGAUCAAAUUUGACUUGCUGCAAUUUGUUGUUAGGUAAGGGACUAAACUUUAGUUUUGAUGCAAAGUGAAAUCUGACUUAGACCACACUGAUUCAAUUCUUUGGUUUUUAGACUAGAGAGCAAAUGAAAAUUGAAGAACAUAGAAAAACUUGAGUCUACUUGUAUAUGUACAAGUAUGAAACUGUGUUUCCAAAACCAAUUCAUUAAAAUCGGUGUGGUCAUUUGAAACCAAGGUUUUAGUCCAUUUUGUGUUGUUCACCAACAGAGUUUGGUUUUACUGUAGAUUUUAGGUACAGGAGAAAGAAAUGACUGUAAGAUAGAUAUGUAUGGCCACUUGUAAACUUGUAACAAUAUGUGAUAUUUGCCAUUAAUAAUUUGUGUCCAUUUUUGUACAGAGGCCUGUGGUAGUGUCUGCUCCGAAUUUCAACAUGGUAUCUUAUGUGUAAUAUGGGUAUAUAUUCAAAGGGGUCCUUGUUGCAUGGUAUUUGUGAAAAGAUGUAGGUAUGAUUUUAUUUGUUUUAGGUAAUUUUUUGAUUGUUGGAGGCUUGACUUAUGCUGUGCAUAUUAGGUAUACAACAAUGUUACUACUUGGACUAGUACAUUUGUAUGAUUUUAACAGGCUGUGGUGGGGUGAACAUCCUUAGUGCAAUUCACUAUGUAUGUUAUUUGGAGGCAAAGUGUUUUCUUCGUUCCUGUACGUUAGGGUAUGAUGGACACACAGUAUAGCUUAGGCCCUGACCAGCACAUUUCAGUGUUGUAUUGUUCAGUAUGAUAUUUUGCCUGUUCACGUCUCUGAAUCUUGUACCAAAUGUUUUGUUGGUCUUCUGUUUGUAAAUAUGUGUAGCCCAGAUAGUAGUACCCUGACGAUUUACAAACCAAGUGUAACCUAGAUAAGUGUCAAAAUUAUGACUAGUUAUUGUAUGCUCAUUAGUAGUUGGUCCAUGCUUUUAAAACAAUUUUUUCCUAUCCUGUCACUUUUUGUUCCUAUGCUGCCAUUGUUGUAGGCAGUUUUUGACAUUAGGUUAAACUGGUUUUCCUUCUGUCAUUGUUUAAUUCCAACAUAGAAAUUGUGAAGUUUUCACUGUCCUACCCAAUUGACUACUGAAAUUUUAGCUUAGCUAAAUACAACUUGAAGGGGUACCUUGGUGAACCUGAUUAAUAUUGUAUGUAUUGUCUACUGAAGUCAGGAAGGAAAGAGUUCAUCAUUUACCUGUCUGUUCUACUGCAUUUAUUGACCUUCUUUCUAGUGUGCGUUCAUACUUGUAUUGGCAACACCCAGCAGCCCUGUUGUGUAUUUUUGCCUCCUACUGUACCACUAAGUCUUGUUUUGUGCUGUAUGUACAUGUACAUGUAUGAAUGAAGUGCAGCUAGGCCUUGCUAUCCUGGAAACACUGCCAUUAGGGGGGCUGGGGACUUGUUUGUGCUCCAUGCCUGGCACAUCUUUAGUUUGCAAUAAACGGUAUGUUGACCUCAUGGGUCAGAUAAAACAA